rnacentral:rRNA from 1 species
UAGGGAAUCUUCCGCAAUGGGCGAAAGCCUGACGGAGCAACGCCGCGUGAGUGAUGAAGGUCUUCGGAUCGUAAAACUCUGUUAUUAGGGAAGAACAAAUGUGUAAGUAACUAUGCACGUCUUGACGGUACCUAAUCAGAAAGCCACGGCUAACUACGUGCCAGCAGCCGCGGUAAUACGUAGGUGGCAAGCGUUAUCCGGAAUUAUUGGGCGUAAAGCGCGCGUAGGCGGUUUUUUAAGUCUGAUGUGAAAGCCCACGGCUCAACCGUGGAGGGUCAUUGGAAACUGGAAAACUUAAGUUCAGAAGAGGAAAGUGGAAUUCCAUGUGUAGCGGUGAAAUGCGCAGAGAUAUGUAGGAACACCAGUGGCGAAGGCGACUUUCUGGUCUGUAACUGACGCUGAUGUGCGAAAGCGUGGGGAUCAAACAGG